GGGGAUAAUAAUAAUAAUAAUAAUAAUAAUAAUAAUAACAAAAAAUUACUCAACUACAACAUUUAUAUUCCUUAUAGAAAUCUUCCACCAUGCCUCGGAGUCAGAAUGUAAGUAUAGAAAGUGGUGGAUGAAGGAGCAAAUCAAUGACUUGUGGGCUUGUGGCUGUUUCUUCUUUGAUUUUUCUUUUUGUUUUGUUUUGUUUCUGUUGAGUGAUCAAUCACAACUUUCUUAUUUUUCUGCGCCGUGGGGUAAUCGCUGUCACCUUUUAAUGUAUAUUGCUCUUCAAACAAUACAGCAUCUGAAAGGAAAUCUGCCUGCAGUCAUGAUCUGAAUGCCUAAAAUAGCCAUGCUCCUUGCGUAUGCUGUCAUGUUAGUUACAGGCCAUCAGGUGGUGCAGUGCACCCAUGAGAUUGGGUGAGGUGGAGGAUGUUGCGCGUGUGUCUCACACGAAUGGUGUUGCUAUGGUAAUGCAGUGCUGUCUUUUGCCUUUACUAUGUUUGUGGCAUCGGUAAGCUCUGAUUUCUCUUUGGCAUUAAAAGCGUGGCACAAAUUUGAUACAAUCACCAACGUGGACAGCAAAUUAACCCCUUGUUGGAGACAGCAGUCCCCUCCUGACCAAUGAUGACAUUGUUGAGAACACCGUAGCAGCUUUCAGCAGUCCAAUUACAUCUAAUUUGACUAGAGUGAGCUUCAGCCAGCUUGUUAGUCAGUCUCAGUAGGGCGGAAGUGGCCUUGGGCUAAACACAGCUCAUCCUGCUGUCUUUGAGGGCUUUUUUUCCCUUUUUCUUUUUCUUUUUGUGGUAAGCGGAGGCAGUGAAUAGGGUGAUGGAUGGAGAAUGGGUGCGGUUUUAAGCAAGUAAGGAAAGAAAGCUGACAAUUUAAGGUAGGAAAACAUUUAAGGGUGCUUAACUUGAUAAAGGGCUGCUUUCAGGAGUGGGACACUGAGGUUGUACAGUGAUGGAUGCAUUUCAGGCUGCUUAUAAAGCAGAACCUACAAUGUGGCAGUGUAGUCAAGGAACAUGUGAUCAGAACAAGGUUUUAUGCACAUGCACACACGAUAUUGUUAUGCAUCACGCUUGUGAGUCAUCACAUAAAGCAACAAGUAGGUCUCCCAGGGCCAUGUAAUCUCAAAUUGAAUUGAGCAUGCACACUCCAGUGCUGCUUGCCACACAUAGAGUUCUGUCUCCUCCUCUCUAUGUGAAUGC
ensembl:lncRNA